UGACAAUCCAAUGGCAAGCAUCCUCGACAGCGAGCAGCCAAGCCUCUGGAAGAAAAAAGAAUAACUUUCUGCGUAGCAGAAGAUACCUGAUCAAAGGAUGGUGAUGGUGGUGGUGGUGAUGGGGCCCAACGGAAUAGCCGUUAAGAGUGUCUUCUUCGUCAGAGACACCAUCAUAAUAAUCGGAGAAAGCAGAGGACUUGUCGGGGGCAUCAACGCGUCGUCUAGUGGUGGUGGGUCCAGGGUGG
rnacentral:misc_RNA from 1 species